rnacentral:rRNA from 1 species
GACGAACGCUGGCGGCGUGCUUAACACAUGCAAGUCGAACGGAAAGGCCUUUUCGGAGGUACUCGAGUGGCGAACGGGUGAGUAACACGUGGGUGAUCUGCCCUGCACUCUGGGAUAAGCCUGGGAAACUGGGUCUAAUACCGGAUAGGACCGCACUUUAGUGUGUGUGGUGGAAAGUUUUUUCGGUGUAGGAUGAGCCCGCGGCCUAUCAGCUUGUUGGUGGGGUAAUGGCCUACCAAGGCGGCGACGGGUAGCCGGACUGAGAGGUUGGUCGGCCACAUUGGGACUGAGAUACGGCCCAGACUCCUACGGGAGGCAGCAGUGGGGAAUAUUGCAUAAUGGGCGCAAGCCUGAUGCAGCGACGCCGCGUGGGGGAUGACGGCCUUCGGGUUGUAAACUCCUUUCGCCAGGGACGAAGCGUUUUGUGACGGUACCUGGAGAAGAAGCACCGGCUAACUACGUG